GUGCACCCUCGUGAGGGAUUGCAGCGGCAUCCUUUUUUUUGAGGUUUUUUAAGCCGAAAAAAAGAUACAGCGUAAAGCCUGCCUGCCU
rfam:Leeuwenhoekiella marinoflava DSM 3653 genome assembly, contig: EJ63DRAFT_scaffold00024.24